GAUGAAGAACGCAGCGAAAUGCGAUAAGUAGUGUGAAUUGCAGAAUUCAGUGAAUCAUCGAAUCUUUGAACGCACAUUGCGCCCUUUGGUAUUCCAAAGGGCAUGCCUGUUCGAGCGUCAUUUGUACCCUCAAGCUUUGCUUGGUGUUGGGCGUCUUGUCUCUAGCUUUGCUGGAGACUCGCCUUAAAGUAAUUGGCAGCCGGCCUACUGGUUUCGGAGCGCAGCACAAGUCGCACUCUCUAUCAGCAAAGGUCUAGCAUCCAUUAAGCCUUUUUUUCAACUUUUGACCUCGGAUCAGGUAGUGAUACCCGCUGAACUUAAGCAUAUCAAUAAGCGGAGGA
rnacentral:misc_RNA from 1 species